rnacentral:rRNA from 1 species
GACGAACGCUGGCGGCGCGCUUAACACAUGCAAGUCGAACGGAAAGGCCUGCUUUCCCUUGUGGAUUGCGGGUACUCGAGUGGCGAACGGGUGAGUAACACGUGAGUGAUCUGCCCCCAACUUGGGUAUAAGCCUGGGAAACUGGGUCUAAUUCCCGAUAGGACUGCAGGGUGGUGCCUGUGGUGGAAAACGAUUUUCUAGUGGUUGGGGAUGAGCUCGCGGCCUAUCAGCUUGUUGGUGGGGUAAUGGCCUACCAAGGCGGCGACGGGUAGCCGGCCUGAGAGGGUGGACGGCCACAUUGGGACUGGGAUACGGCCCAGACUCCUACGGGAGGCAGCAGUGGGGAAUAUUGCACAAUGGGCGGAAGCCCGAUGCAGCGACGCCGCGUGGGGGAUGACGGCCUUCGGGUUGUAAACUCCUUUCGACCGCGAGGAAGCCACCUGGUUGGAAGGGUGGUGACGGUAGUGGUAGAAGAAGCACCGGCUAACUACGUG